UGAGGCACCCCUGUUGCAAGGCCUGUGAAGGGGUCAAGGAAAAUUUCCUGUUCAAAACCAUGCAUAGGAAUUCUAAUUACGUAAGUGAAGAAAAAGUAAAAUUCUGUAACUUUUCUUCUCUAAAGUAGCUUUUCUAAUUUAUUCCAAAACAAAUAUCUUUAUAGUUCAGAAAUAUUAUCUUGGACAAAUAUAGGGGUGAAGUGUAUCUGGCAGGUCUUGGUGGCAUGCAGAAAUAAGGUGUAUUUUCACAGAGGUAAUUCAUUGUUUUUCUAAACUUUCUGCAGUUAUAAGCAAAGAAAAUUUGAAGCCUCUAUUAAAAAAUCAUUCCUUCAACACAUCACUGACCAGGAACGUAAAUGGAUGAGCAGUAAGGACGCAAUGGAUUAAGCUCCUUUACAAGGGAAAGAUUUCUGAACUCCUCAAGGUAAUUGCAGCAAAGCACAUCAUCUGAUCUUGAGAACCCAGCAGCCAUUCAGAGGAGCUCCAACCUACAUCCUCGUGCCAUUCCCCACCUCCCGCCACUGUCAGUGGCUUUGAGCAGCUC
rnacentral:lncRNA from 1 species